UGGGGAAUAUUGGACAAUGGGCGAAAGCCUGAUCCAGCCAUGCCGCGUGUGUGAAGAAGGUCUUCGGAUUGUAAAGCACUUUAAGUUGGGAGGAAGGGUUGUAGAUUAAUACUCUGCAAUUUUGACGUUACCGACAGAAUAAGCACCGGCUAACUCUGUGCCAGCAGCCGCGGUAAUACAGAGGGGGCAAGCGUUAAUCGGAAUUACUGGGCGUAAAGCGCGCGUAGGUGGUUUGUUAAGUUGGAUGUGAAAGCCCCGGGCUCAACCUGGGAACUGCAUCCAAAACUGGCAAGCUAGAGUACGGUAGAGGGUGGUGGAAUUUCCUGUGUAGCGGUGAAAUGCGUAGAUAUAGGAAGGAACACCAGUGGCGAAGGCGACCACCUGGACUAAUACUGACACUGAGGUGCGAAAGCGUGGGGAGCAAACA
rnacentral:rRNA from 1 species